rnacentral:rRNA from 1 species
UGUUGUGGUUAAAAAGCUCGUAGUUGGAUCUCGGCGGUCUGAGGGCGGUUCGCUUGAUUGAGUGCUACUGCUCUAUAGGCCGUGGUUUUGCCAGAGGUCUCGGGGUGCUCUUAACCGAGUGUCCUGCGAUGCUGGCAGGUUUACUUUGAAAAAAUUAGAGUGCUCAAAGCAGGCUUUUACGCCUGAAUAUUCGUGCAUGGAAUAAUAGAACUGGAAGUCGUUUCUAUUUUGUUGGUUUUCGGAAAUCGACUUAAUGAUUAAUAGGGACAGUCGGGGGCAUUUGUAUUCAAACGACAGAGGUGAAAUUCUUGGACCGUUUGAAGACAAACUGCUGCGAAAGCAUUUGCCAAGAAUGUUUUCAUUAAUCAAGAAUGAAAGUUAGAGGUUCGAAGGCGAUUAGAUACCGCCCUAGUUCUAACCAUAAACGAUGCCAGCUAGCGAUCUGCCGACGUUUUCUUU